rnacentral:tRNA from 1 species
GGUUGAAUAAGCUAAAACCAAGCUAUUGGGUUCAUACCCCAAACAUGAGAAACCUCUUCAACCU